UACAGAGGUCUCAAGCGUUGUUCGGAUUCAUUGGGCGUAAAGGGUGCGUAGGUGGCGGGGUAAGUCAGGUGUGAAAUUUCGGAGCUUAACUCCGAAACUGCAUUUGAUACUGCCUUGCUUGAGGACUGGAGAGGAGACUGGAAUUCACGGUGUAGCAGUGAAAUGCGUAGAUAUCGUGAGGAAGACCAGUGGCGAAGGCGGGUCUCUGGACAGUUCCUGACGCUGAGGGCACGA
rnacentral:rRNA from 1 species